CGGAAAGGGAAAAGCUGCUAAACCGUGCUACCCUGGCCCAGGCGAGUUACCGCAGUGACACUCGAUAGCCCCUCGGAUGGGCGGAUCGAAACUCACCACAGAAAUUGAAGAACAGCCAAGGGAGCACCAUGAUUCUCUUGACACUGAUUUGGUCCCCAUUGCACCUGAUGCACACCACCCAACAACGCACAUCAGAUCCUGUGUCCUACUCGCUGGUGCUUUCUCAACAACAGGAUGCAUUCUCCAAUUGGUGGUAUGCUGCACAGUCAGAGCGUGGGAACAGGCCCUUCCGGCUCAACGAGUCCGCGCCGCCCAUUUUAAACCCAAAUUAACCUACCUGUACGUCUUUGCAAUGUGGGAGGUGUUGAAGCAAACAACAUAAAUCCGAAAGGUUUCUUAACUCUCAACUCGUACAUCAGUAUCGCUCUCAUCACCUGGCUGUAAGUUCCGAGUACUACCCAAGAAUUGGAGCAGAUGCAAGAUAUUUUAGAUAUCUCCAAACCAACAUCAAGGAAUAUUGCUUCAGCUGAAGUAGUGGAUUUAAUUCUUUUCUUUGUGCUGUCGAAGAGCUUGUAGGAAGACCUGCUUCACCUGGCUUAACAUGUCAUGAUACAAUUUCAGAUCUUCUUCCUUGGCUUUUAAAGUGCUCUGCAAGCCUGUCUUUAAGGCCUCGUUUUCAUCUAGCUGUAUGAAGUUCAAGACGGCUAAUUGUUUUGGCACAACUUUCAUGCAAAAGGAUUAAAACAAUCCCCAAGAGGACAAUGCAGGUCGGCAAGAAUGGAGCAUCCUACAGCCAGCCGUUGGUAGCCAGGAACCUCCUGUCACUCACAUCAAUUUCUGAUGCCGUCCAACGUGACCAUGGGACAAGGAGGAUCACUGUCCAUACACAUUUCUUGAUUGCAUUUCACUUGAUUCAUGAAUUUGAGACAAAGAAAUCUGCCCCAUCCCUUUAUUACUAUCAUUGAAAAAGACAAUCGUGUCAGCUAAAUCUUAAAAGCAUAAGAUGUAACUCCUGUGUGAAUUAAAUAAUCCCAACAAUGUAUAACACCUUUAUAUAUGGACUUAAAGUGUAUACUUUAAUGUGUGCCCCCUUUAUUGAGUUCUCAAACUUGGCUACCUUGCUGUGGUAAGGUAGAGGGGUGGACAGCAACAAGCCAUUGGAAAAAAAGGCUUACAGUAGAGGGAAAGGCCUCUUAUAACCUACUCAGGCCCACUUCCUCAACUCUUCCUCCAAUACGAGGACAACUCCAUUGGUGCUGCUCCCCGAACUUAUGCAGAACUUGAAAAUUUCCACUUUGUUCUUACCUUUACGAGGUCCAUCUCUGACCUUUCCCUUUCCUUUCUGGAUCUCUCAGUCUCCAUCUCAGGGGUUUGGCUAGCCACCAAUAUCCACUACAAUCCCACAGACUCCCACAGCUACCUUGAUUAUACUUCCUCCUACCCUGAUUCCUGAAAGGACUCUAUUCCAUUUCCUCGGUCCCUGUUGCAUUUGAUCCGAUGAUGCAUUUGAUCCAUCAUCAAAGAUUCCCACCAUCCGGGCCAUACCAUUUUCUCACAGCUACCAUCAGGCAGGAGAUACAAAAGCCUGAAAUCCCACACUGCCAGGUUCAAGAACAGCUACUUCCCUUCAAUCAUUCGGUUCUUGAAACAACUGGAACAACCCUAAUCACUGCAGUUGACCACGUUGAUCAAUUUGCACUAAAAUAGACUUUGUUUUUUUUUGUUCUAAUGUGUUCUUUCUUGUAAAAAUUGUGUAUAAUUUAUGUAUAAUUUAUGUUUUUCUUGUGGAUGCUGCUAUGUGCCUGUGAUACUGCUGUAAGCUUAAGAUAUUUAUUUAUUAGUCACGUGUACAUCGAAACACACAGUGAAAUGCGUCUUUCUGCGUUACUGAGAAUGUGCUGGGGGCAGCCCGCAAGUGUCGCCACGCUUCUGGCACCAACAUAGCACGCCCACAGCUCCUAACUGUACAUCUUUGGAAUGUGGGAGGAAACCGGAGCACCCGGAGGAAACCCACGCAGACACGGGGAGAACGUACAAACUCCUUAUAGACAGUGGCGGGAAUCGAACCCGGGUCGCUAGCGCUGUAAUAGCGUUACCCUAACCACUACACUACCUACGUGUACUUGUGCAUAUGGCAAUAAAUUUGACUUUGACAU